rnacentral:rRNA from 1 species
CCUACGGGAGGCAGCAGUGAGGAAUAUUGGUCAAUGGGCGAGAGCCUGAACCAGCCAAGUCGCGUGAAGGAUGAAGGAUCUAUGGUUUGUAAACUUCUGUUAUAGGGGAAUAAAGUGAGGAACGUGUGCCUGUUUGUAUGUACCAUAUGAAUAAGCAUCGGCUAACUCCGUGCCAGCACCCGCGGUAAUACGGAGGAUGCGAGCGUUAUCCGGAUUUAGUGGGUUUAAAGGGUGCGUAGGUGGUUAAUUAAGUCAGCGGUGAAAGUUUUUGGCUCAACCCUAAAAUUGCCGUUGAAACUGGUUGCCUUGCGUAUAUUUGAGCUCGGCGGCAUGCGUGGUGUAGC